GACGAACGCUGGCGGCGUGCUUAACACAUGCAAGUCGAACGGAAAGGCCCUGCUUUUGUGGGGUGCUCGAGUGGCGAACGGGUGAGUAACACGUGAGUAACCUGCCCUUGACUUUGGGAUAACUUCAGGAAACUGGGGCUAAUACCGGAUAGGAGCUCCUGCUGCAUGGUGGGGGUUGGAAAGUUUCGGCGGUUGGGGAUGGACUCGCGGCUUAUCAGCUUGUUUGUGGGGUAGUGGCUUACCAAGGCUUUGACGGGUAGCCGGCCUGAGAGGGUGACCGGCCACAUUGGGACUGAGAUACGGCCCAGACUCCUACGGGAGGCAGCAGUGGGGAAUAUUGCACAAUGGGCGGAAGCCUGAUGCAGAAACGCCGCGUGCGGGAUGACGGCCUUCGGGUUGUAAACCGCUUUCGCAUGUGACGAAGAGUGAGUGACGGUAAUGGGUAAAGAAGCACCGGCUAACUACGUG
rnacentral:rRNA from 1 species